GCUCAACAUAGGGAGUCCUUGUCCAAACGACUCCAUUCUCAUUUAUCCAAUGACAGACUUCAAUUAGGGCUGGUCCAAAACCCAACAACUUAAAAGCAAGAUGAUUUGGAUUCCAAGUUGAUGUAUCAUAGUGGCAUGUCAUGAUCACAUGAUUCAUUCUCUUCCGACCAUGUAU